AAUGGUCUGACCCUGUCUAAGUCUCUUGAGGGCUGGCAUUUUGCUAGGAUGUGAAAUGAUUGCGACUGCAUGUCUUGGUUUGUCGCCCUCUCUCUGUCAUCUGCAGAAUAACUACAGGGAGUGUCUGACCCAAGGAGAUAAACUCAGGGAUUUGAAAGGCCGUCGCUCAUCCAGGUCUGCCACCACUUCACGGUUGAAUUUGACAAAGACCAGUCAGACCUCUAUCACCCCUCCCAAGUGUUCCAGGCUAUCUCUGGUCCCUGUCCCCUUCUCCUCCUCCUCUUCUCCCAAGAGGCUGGCGCAAAGCUCCUCAUCAUCAGCUAGUAACCUUAAGAGUCCCUUUAGCCUGAGUAUGUUCAGCUCUAAGGCUACUACCAUUCACUGAGCCCACGUUGAUCACUGACUUUUCAUCUUUGACCUUCUGACCUUCCAGUUGACCCCAGGAGACAGGAGGUUAACCCCCUCAACCGCUGGAGAAAUGAGCACGAUAGUCUCUGUUAUAAAUGCACGUUAAAUAACAUUUAAUAAUACAACAAAAAAAAUCUAAUCCACCCCUGAGACACUGUAAAAAAUCAUAUUUGUAACAAUUGGAUUUGUAGACAUGAUCUCGUUUCAAUCAAUGUAAUUGUUUGUUUUCAAAAUGGGUUUAUUAUCAUUGUAAUUGUGUGCAAGGAGAAUGUUUAUCAUGGCUUUCUCUUAUUCAGUUAUUUAAUUGAUUUAUAUUGUUUGAUUGACGCUGUAAAAGAGGACACAUCCUACUGUACACUCAAUUGAUUCAUGAGUGGCUGUCUUAUGAAUGUUGUCAUUCAGGAGAUCCAUUUGUUUUAUGUGAAUACACAUUUGGAUUGUAACAGAAGUAACUCUGGUUGAGCACUUUUUUUCUGACUUGUUUUUACGACUCUUGUUGACAGGCUCGGGACAAUUGUUUUGUUUUAAAUGACUUUAAGUAGUAGGCCUGUAUGGCGUAUAUGGAAUGUAUUUCUGCAAACUUUGCAGAAAUACUAUUGGUACAUUGUCAUUUAAAUUAGAUUAAAAUCAUUCCUUGUUAAAAUAA
ensembl:lncRNA